CGCAAUGGCCGGGAAGAACUUCCUCUUCCUUGGCUCUCCCCACUUACUUCCUGAUAACCUGAGUUGAAGUCGGUGAAGACAUUCAUGAUUUAAACACCAGAUCCUGAAAGGCAUUAAAUCUACUUUGAAAUGAAUCUGCAAUCAGUAUUUCAAAGCUUUUCUGACGUUGCUGAAUUUGAAUUGGGAUCACAUGUGUUUCCUCAUCUAGGACCUGGUGAACUUCCAACACUAUGUUGAAUAGGAGUGGUGAGAGAGGGCAUCCCUGACAUGGGUGCAGGCUAUGAAGAUGGGAAAAGGCCGUUGAUCACUCUGGCUUCUUCCUGCUGACAGCGGACAUAGUGGGAAUGGGAGUGAACCCCAAGGUGAGAGAGUGGAACCACUUUGCAACUGUCUGAGCGUACUCAUGCAGCCCUGGCUUUUCAGUAGGCCUACACAGAAAAUGUGAGACUGAAAACCCCUGCAUCCUUGAGCUCAUGGACGAUGUGCUCUAUGAGGCAGUAGAGGAGCUCCGCCUGGUACUCGACACUCCACAAAGCAACUCUCCCUUUGGGGCUGCAGUUGGUGAACAAAAAGAAACUCUCAAGGAUCCAAGAUGAUGCUGAUAAGACUUAUUAAAUUUGG
rnacentral:lncRNA from 1 species